rnacentral:rRNA from 1 species
GUGGGGAAUUUUGGACAAUGGGCGAAAGCCUGAUCCAGCCAUGCCGCGUGCAGGAUGAAGGCCUUCGGGUUGUAAACUGCUUUUGUACGGAACGAAAAGACUCUGGUUAAUACCUGGGGUCCAUGACGGUACCGUAAGAAUAAGCACCGGCUAACUACGUGCCAGCAGCCGCGGUAAUACGUAGGGUGCAAGCGUUAAUCGGAAUUACUGGGCGUAAAGCGUGCGCAGGCGGUUAGAUAAGACAGAUGUGAAAUCCCCGGGCUCAACCUGGGAACUGCAUUUGUGACUGUAUAGCUAGAGUACGGCAGAGGGGGAUGGAAUUCCUGGUGUAGCAGUGAAAUGCGUAGAUAUCAGGAGGAACACCGAUGGCGAAGGCAGCCCCCUGGGCCUGUACUGACGCUCAUGCACGAAAGCGUGGGGAGCAAACAGGAUUAGAUACCCCUGUAGUCC